CGGCGCGAAUGCCGUCAGGCGGCGCGGCGGCCUUGCUCGAACCGGCGCGGCGGGGCGUUGCAGACGCACCGCGCCGCCC
rnacentral:tRNA from 1 species